rnacentral:rRNA from 1 species
GAUGAACGCUGGCGGCGUGCCUAAUACAUGCAAGUCGAGCGAACGGACGAGAAGCUUGCUUCUCUGAUGUUAGCGGCGGACGGGUGAGUAACACGUGGAUAACCUACCUAUAAGACUGGGAUAACUUCGGGAAACCGUAGCUAAUACCGGAUAAUAUUUUGAACCGCAUGGUUCAAAAGUGAAAGACGGUCUUGCUGUCACUUAUAGAUGGAUCCGCGCUGCAUUAGCUAGUUGGUAAGGUAACGGCUUACCAAGGCAACGAUGCAUAGCCGACCUGAGAGGGUGAUCGGCCACACUGGAACUGAGACACGGUCCAGACUCCUACGGGAGGCAGCAGUAGGGAAUCUUCCGCAAUGGGCGAAAGCCUGACGGAGCAACGCCGCGUGAGUGAUGAAGGUCUUCGGAUCGUAAAACUCUGUUAUUAGGGAAGAACAUAUGUGUAAAUAACUGUACACAUCUUGACGGUACCUAAUCAGAAAGCCACGGCUAACUACGUG